rnacentral:rRNA from 1 species
AUGAUGAACGCUAGCGACAGGCUUAACACAUGCAAGUCGAGGGGCAGCACAGGUAGCAAUACCGGGUGGCGACCGGCGCACGGGUGAGUAACGCGUAUGCAACUUACCUAUCAGAGGGGGAUAACCCGGCGAAAGUCGGACUAAUACCGCAUGAAGCAGGGGCCCCGCAUGGGGAUAUUUGCUAAAGAUUCAUCGCUGAUAGAUAGGCAUGCGUUCCAUUAGGCAGUUGGCGGGGUAACGGCCCACCAAACCGACGAUGGAUAGGGGUUCUGAGAGGAAGGUCCCCCACAUUGGUACUGAGACACGGACCAAACUCCUACGGGAGGCAGCAGUGAGGAAUAUUGGUCAAUGGCCGAGAGGCUGAACCAGCCAAGUCGCGUGAGGGAUGAAGGUUCUAUGGAUCGUAAACCUCUUUUAUAAGGGAAUAAAGUGCGGGACGUGUCCCGUUUUGUAUGUACCUUAUGAAUAAGGAUCGGCUAACUCCGUGCCAGCAGCCGCGGUAAUACGGAGGAUCCGAGCGUUAUCCGGAUUUAUUGGGUUUAAAGGGUGCGUAGGCGGCCUUUUAAGUCAGCGGUGAAAGUCUGUGGCUCAACCAUAGAAUUGCCGUUGAAACUGGGGGGCUUGAGUAUGUUUGAGGCAGGCGGAAUGCGUGGUGUAGCGGUGAAAUGCAUAGAUAUCACGCAGAACCCCGAUUGCGAAGGCAGCCUGCCAAGCCAUUACUGACGCUGAUGCACGAAAGCGUGGGGAUCAAACAGGAUUAGAUACCCUGGUAGUCCACGCAGUAAACGAUGAUCACUAGCUGUUUGCGAUACACUGUAAGCGGCACAGCGAAAGCGUUAAGUGAUCCACCUGGGGAGUACGCCGGCAACGGUGAAACUCAAAGGAAUUGACGGGGGCCCGCACAAGCGGAGGAACAUGCGGUUUAAUUCGAUGAUACGCGAGGAACCUUACCCGGGUUUGAACGCAUUCGGACCGAGGUGGAAACACCUUUUCUAGCAAUAGCCGUUUGCGAGGUGCUGCAUGGUUGUCGUCAGCUCGUGCCGUGAGGUGUCGGCUUAAGUGCCAUAACGAGCGCAACCCUUGCCACUAGUUACUAACAGGUAAAGCUGAGGACUCUGGUGGGACUGCCAGCGUAAGCUGCGAGGAAGGCGGGGAUGACGUCAAAUCAGCACGGCCCUUACAUCCGGGGCGACACACGUGUUACAAUGGCGUGGACAAAGGGAAGCCACCUGGCGACAGGGAGCGAAUCCCCAAACCACGUCUCAGUUCGGAUCGGAGUCUGCAACCCGACUCCGUGAAGUUGGAAUCGCUAGUAAUCGCGGAUCAGCAUGCCGCGGUGAAUACGUUCCCGGGCCUUGUACACACCGCCCGUCACACCAUGAGAGUCGGGAACACCCGAAGUCCGUAGCCUAACAGCAAUGGGGGCGCGGCCGAAGGUGGGUUC